AUUGAACGCUGGAGGCAUGCCUUACACAUGCAAGUCGAACGGUAACAGGUUAAGCUGACGAGUGGCGAACGGGUGAGUAAUACAUCGGAACGUGCCCAGACGUGGGGGAUAGCUCGGCGAAAGCCGGAUUAAUACCGCAUAAGCUCUGAGGAGGAAAGCGGGGGACCGUAAGGCCUCGCGCGUUUGGAGCGGGCGAUGGCAGAUUAGGUAGUUGGGGGGGUAAAGGCUUACCAAGCCUACGAUCUGUAGCUGGUCUGGGAGGACGACCAGCCACACUGGGACUGAGACACGGGCGAGAGUCCUUCGGGAGGCAGCAGUGGGUAAUGUUGUACAAUGUGCGAAAGCGUGAUCCAGCAAUGCCGCGUGCAGGAUGGAGGCCUUCGGGUUGUAAACUGCUUUUGUACGGAACGAAAAGGCGCCUACUAAUACUGGGUGUUGAUGACGGUACCGUAAGAAUAAGCACCUGCUAACUACGUGCCAGCAGCCGCCGUAA
rnacentral:rRNA from 1 species